UAACAAGGAAGCUAAAAAGUAGUCGAAGGUGUUAAGAUGAUACCGAGUCUGGUGAAACACAUGCUCAUGUGGAAUUGCACUAACAUCUCGGUGCCAAAAUUCAUGUUGUCCUACUACACUCAUAUCUACUACCACACUCACUCUCUUGGUCAAGUUGUUUAUUAGAGUUUCGAUCUCCUUAAUCGAGUCUCUACAAGUUAGAAAACUUUGCAAAAAGUUCCUAAC
rnacentral:lncRNA from 1 species